UAGGGAAUUUUCCACAAUGGACGAAAGUCUGAUGGAGCAAUGCCGCGUGCAGGAUGAAGGUCUUCGGAUUGUAAACUGCUUUUAUAGUUGAAGAUUAUGACGGUAAGCUAUGAAUAAGGACCGGCUAACUACGUGCCAGCAGCCGCGGUAAUACGUAGGGUCCAAGCGUUAUCCGGAUUUAUUGGGCGUAAAGAGUUGCGUAGGCGGUAGAGUAAGCAAAUAGUGAAAGGAUGUGGCUCAACCACAUGAA
rnacentral:rRNA from 1 species